GACAUGGUAUUAGGGGGCUCUCCAUCCCACAUGGUGCCAGGGGAGUAGGGUAAGGCAGAGGGAGGCGAGGAGGGCCCGAGGCAGCAGCAGGGGUGUGGAGCACCUCCCUGGGGACCAAGAGAGCAGGGAGGUGGAGGCAGGGGGGCUGAGAAGGGCUGUGGCCCCCAGGACAGUGUCUCCCUGCAACAGGGCUUUGGGACAUAGAGAAGGGGCACCCAGGCCUCCCGGGAAGAACGGCCCCAAUGAGACCAAAAGGACUCUGUCUGCAGGAAACAUGGGAACCAGGGAGCCAAGGAGGAGGAUGUGGUGAGAGCAGGUGGAGUAGGGCGCUUCCGGGCAGCAAACUCCUUCCAGGCGAGCAGCCGGCAGGGCUGGUCAAUGAAUGCAGGCAGGUAGGCUCAGGGUUCUAGUCACCUGCUGACCCCAGGGAGUUGGGAAUGGGUCCAGAAGAAGAAGCUGAAGUCACCCCAAAACUGUCUCUGUGACUGAGCUUCACACUUAGCCUUGCCAUUCCAAAUAAGAUCAUGAUAUUGUAGGCCCAGCAAGAGAGCGAGCUGGGUGAGAGGCAUCACCAGCUUCUUAGGUCAGCCCCCAAGUUAUGGGGAAAGUUUACAUUUUCAAUGAAGUGGUAAUGUGAUUGUGUUUAGGACUAACAGGCGUUACCACCUGGUCUGCUGUUACAGAGUCCUGUUUAUGCUGUGUAGUAAAUAACAUGUUAUUGUUUAAAUGCCUACGAAAGUUCUUGGUCCCAGAAAGAGGAGGCAGAGAGGUGACACAGAAUUGACCACAGGGCAGCCCGAGGUCCCUUCCGGGCCACCCCAGGGUCCCGGAGCUGCCUGUGUGGGUCAGGCUGCAGGAGCACCAGCUGCACUUCGCCAGGGGAGCAGGUAGCAGAGCUGCUGUGCUCCUCAAGCCCUGUGGUAGGACCAGGCAGGAGCCUUCCCAGAGUCUCUGCCAGGAGGACAAGCCAGCUCCUGCCUGGUUCCUACCACAGGGCUUGAGGCCAAGUCACCCGGCACGAAGGGACAUUCCAGAGGGUGAGGUCACCAGGCUGGGGUGGGGGCCCCAGGAUUCCCUCUACACCCCGGCAGAGCUGGAAGCAGUCUAUGACUCGGAAGGCAGGGCAUGGAGCUCAGUGCCUACUCCAAGGUCAGACACAGGAAAGCAGGGGGCCAGCGCCAGGGCUUGGUCUCCCAGAAGAAAGCAGUUUUCUGGCUGGAAGAUGAUGUUGGAAGCCUCAAACCAGGGUAGCUUUAUUGGCAAUGCCUUUACUUUCUAGCCCAGCCUGCCUGCUCCUUUCACCAUCCUAAAGUAACUGGCAUGUGCCCUGAUGAGAUAUUACUGUGCAAGUUGAUGUUAGAGUCUAAAACCAGCACUGUGGAUUGUCUCACUUGGACUGAAGGACUUCUUGGUGCAGAAUCCUUUUCCCUGCUCACACAGAAUCCUAAUCUUUGACAUGAAGAAUCUGUGACUGAUCCUGCAAUUUAGGACUAUUUUGACUUGAAAAGCUCAUGUGUCCUUCCCACAGCAACUGGAAUGAGGAGGAUGGUGGGGGGAAACCGCUGGUCAGGAACUUGCUAUUUGCAAAGUGAUUCAUCCUCACAAUACCACCCUGAUGAAUAAAGCUAAGCCCAUUCUGAAG